rnacentral:rRNA from 1 species
AUUGAACGCUGGCGGCAGGUCUAACACAUGCAAGUCGAGCGGAUGAGUGGAGCUUGCUCCAUGAUUCAGCGGCGGACGGGUGAGUAAUGCCUAGGAAUCUGCCUGGUAGUGGGGGACAACGUUUCGAAAGGAACGCUAAUACCGCAUACGUCCUACGGGAGAAAGUGGGGGAUCUUCGGACCUCACACUAUCAGAUGAGCCUAGGUCGGAUUAGCUAGUUGGGGAGGUAAAGGCUCACCAAGGCGACGAUCCGUAACUGGUCUGAGAGGAGUGACAGUCACACUGGAACUGAGAAACGGUCCAGACUCCUACUGGAGGCAGCAGUGGGGAAUAUUGGACAAUGGGCGAAGGCCUGAUCCAGCCAUGCCGCGUGUGUGAAGAAGGUCUUCGGAUUGUAAAGCACUUUAAGUUGGGAGGAAGGGCAGUAAGUUAAUACCUUGCUGUUUUGACGUUACCAACAGAAUAAGCACCGGCUAACUUCGUGCCAGCCGCCGCCGUAAUAC